UUAGCAAAGAAACAUCUAAUUUAAUUAAACCCUAAUGUGUAACUGAUUUUUACCCGGGAAGGAAAAAAUGAUGUGUAAAGUCAACAACUUUUACUGUCUUUAAUUUUGUUUCUGUCGGUGUAAAAGCUAAGAAAUCAGAUCAAGUUCAUCAUUUCUCUCUCUCUUCUUCGACUGACCGAUACAAUUUUUCUCUUCCCAAACUAUAUACAAAAUUAAUUGAUCUUCUAUAAUUUUUUGGAUUUCAAGACAUGCAUGAGGUUUCAGGAUUGAAUCGGAGGAAACUAAGGGUUAUAAUCUGAACCCUAAGCCUAAUAAUUGAUCUGCUCUUAAACGUUUAAAGAUUGUGUUACUAAUAGGGGUUUUUCAUCUGUUUGUUGAUCUUGAUAUACAAACCAUGUAGAUAAGACGCUGAUUUGAGAGAACCUUCAGAAUCAGGCUCUUCCAUGGUUUCGAUGGUAAAAAUUCUGAGAUAUAACAACGAAAUCAGUUAAGAUUGAUUGUCACGGAUGUUUCUCACACAUGCAUGAGCUUUGCUAUAUCGAUCUCCGUAAGGUUCAAGAUCAGACGCUGGAAAAUUCAAGAUCGAGUCAUAGAAAAUGAACUCUUCACAGUACCAAAAGCAAAUUCAAUCUCCGAAUUUAAAACUAAAGUUAACUUCUUAAGAAAAAAAUAGGUUUCUUAAAUUUUAGACUCAUAUUAUGAAAUAAUAAGAUUUUUUUUUAUGUUGCAGUUUAUGAACUGAAGAGAAGUAAAGACGAUCACCUAUACCAUGGUCCUAUUAGAGUUUUUGUAUUGUAAAUCUAGUAGUAGAUAACCCUUGGUUUAAUUAUAGUUAAAUUUUGAAUUAAGAGAUUGGUUUAGGUUUAAUAUAGGAUGUUGGUUUAAUUUAAGUUGUCCGGUUGUAUUUACUUUGUAGCGUCUAAUAAUAUACAAUCUAUCAACUUGAAAGGGU